GCAAAAUCUGUGCGUUGAGGGACCAUCCAAAUCACGGCUGGGCUAUACAGGAACGAGUUUUGUACGUUCAAAGACUUUUCGAAGCUAGCACAGUGAACUGCACCAACUGAAUGACAUCAUCGAUUCUGAACAGGAAGUGAAGACGAGAUUGACAUCAUGCUUUCCUCGGGGAAAACCAGCUUCUGUUCAGAUCUGAAGGCGCGCGUUCUGUUGGAUUCUCUCGUUAGAGCGGUGUUCUACAUGGUUCCCGUUAUUCUCACCUAUAAUCUAGUAAUACUAGCACAGAUCUCAACAACAGGACCGACGAAGUUUACAAGGCCUGAUAACAACGCGGAGCCUGAGGCGUACAUUACGAAGACCAGCCGGGACAUGUUUUUAUUUCAAGAUGCCAACUUCACUAAGUCUUUGUGGUUUCACCCGCGGAACUGCACUAUGCACAACUACAUCCAAAG